CUGCGGCAGCGACACUGUGUGUUGUUGGGUAGGGGAGCGUUCUGUAAGCCUGUGAAGGUGUGUCGUGAGGCAUGCUGGAGGUAUCAGAAGUGCGAAUGCUGACAUAAGUAACGAUAAAGCGGGUGAAAAGCCCGCUCGCCGGAAGACCAAGGGUUCCUGUCCAACGUUAAUCGGGGCAGGGUGAGUCGACCCCUAAGGCGAGGCCGAAAGGCGUAGUCGAUGGGAAACGGGUUAAUAUUCCCGUACUUGGUGUUACUGCGAAGGGGGGACGGAGAAGGCUAUGUUGGCCGGGCGACGGUUGUCCCGGUUUAAGUGUGUAGGUGUGUGUUCCAGGUAAAUCCGGUUCACUUUAACACUGAGGCGUGACGACGAGGCACUACGGUGCUGAAGCAACAAAUGCCCUGCUUCCAGGAAAAGCCUCUAAGCAUCAGGUAACAUCAAAUCGUACCCCAAACCGACACAGGUGGUCAGGUAGAGAAUACCAAGGCGCUUGAGAGAACUCGGGUGAAGGAACUAGGCAAAAUGGUGCCGUAACUUCGGGAGAAGGCACGCUGACACGUAGGUGAAGUGAUUUACUCAUGGAGCUGAAGUCAGUCGAAGAUACCAGCUGGCUGCAACUGUUUAUUAAAAACACAGCACUGUGCAAACACGAAAGUGGACGUAUACGGUGUGACGCCUGCCCGGUGCCGGAAGGUUAAUUGAUGGGGUCAGCGCAAGCGAAGCUCCUGAUCGAAGCCCCGGUAAACGGCGGCCGUAACUAUAACGGUCCUAAGGUAGCGAAAUUCCUUGUCGGGUAAGUUCCGACCUGCACGAAUGGCGUAAUGAUGGCCAGGCUGUCUCCACCCGAGACUCAGUGAAAUUGAACUCGCUGUGAAGAUGCAGUGUACCCGCGGCAAGACGGAAAGACCCCGUGAACCUUUACUAUAGCUUGACACUGAACAUUGAGCCUUGAUGUGUAGGAUAGGUGGGAGGCUUUGAAGUGUGGACGCCAGUCUGCAUGGAGCCGACCUUGAAAUACCACCCUUUAAUGUUUGAUGUUCUAACGUGGACCCGUUACCCGGGUUGCGGACAGUGUCUGGUGGGUAGUUUGACUGGGGCGGUCUCCUCC
rnacentral:rRNA from 1 species